UUCCGGUUGAUCCUGCCGGAGGUCACUGCUAUUGGGAUUCGACUAAGCCAUGCGAGUCGCGAGGGUUCGGCCCUCGGCUGACGGCUCAGUAACACGCGGAUAAUCUGCCCUUAGGUGGAGGAUAACCUCGGGAAACUGAGAAUAAGACUCCAUAGAUCUAGGAGGCUGGAAUGCACUUAGAUCAAAAACUUCGGUGCCUAAGGAUGAGUCUGCGGACUAUCAGGUAGUAGUCAGGGUAAUGACCUGACCAGCCUAUGACGGAUACGGGUUGUGAGAGCAAUAACCCGGAGAUGAUAUCUGAGACACGAUAUCAGGCCCUACGGGGCGCAGCAGGCGCGAAAACUUCACACUGUGCGAAAGCACGAUGAGGGAAUCCCAAGUGCUGGCUCGUAAGAGUCAGCUGUUUUUCUGUCUAGAAAACAGGGAGAGUAAGAGCUGGGUAAGACGGGUGCCAGCCGCCGCGGUAAUACCUGCAGCUCAAGUGGUGGCCGCUAUUAUUGGGCCUAAAACGUUCGUAGCCGGUCUAGUAAAUGCCUGGGUAAAUCAUACGGCUUAACCGUACGAAUUCCGGGUAGACUGCUGGACUUGGGACUGGGAGAGGCUAGAGGUACUCCUGGGGUAGAGGUGAAAUUCUGUAAUCCUAGGGGGACGACCAGUGGCGAAGGCGUCUAGCUAGAACAGGUCUGACGGUGAGGAACGAAGCCCUGGGGCGCAAACGGGAUUAGAUACCCCGGUAGUCCAGGGUGUAAACGCUGCUUGCUUGAUGUUAGUCGGGCUCCGAGCCCGAUUAGUGUCGGAGAGAAGUUGUUAAGCAAGCUGCCUGGGGAGUACGGCCGCAAGACUGAAACUUAAAGGAAUUGGCGGGGGAGCACCGCAACGGGUGGAGCGUGCGGUUUAAUUGGACUCAACGCCGGG
rnacentral:rRNA from 1 species